rnacentral:rRNA from 1 species
CCCCUAAGUCUGGGAUACCAUUUGGAAACAGGUGCUAAUACCGGAUAAUAAAGCAGAUCGCAUGAUCAGCUUUUGAAAGGCGGCGUAAGCUGUCGCUAAGGGAUGGCCCCGCGGUGCAUUAGCUAGUUGGUAAGGUAACGGCUUACCAAGGCGACGAUGCAUAGCCGAGUUGAGAGACUGAUCGGCCACAUUGGGACUGAGACACGGCCCAAACUCCUACGGGAGGCAGCAGUAGGGAAUCUUCCACAAUGGACGCAAGUCUGAUGGAGCAACGCCGCGUGAGUGAAGAAGGUUUUCGGAUCGUAAAGCUCUGUUGUUGGUGAAGAAGGAUAGAGGUAGUAACUGGCCUUUAUUUGACGGUAAUCAACCAGAAAGUCACGGCUAACUACGUGCCAGCAGCCGCGGUAAUACGUAGGUGGCAAGCGUUGUCCGGAUUUAUUGGGCGUAAAGCGAGCGCAGGCGGAAAAAUAAGUCUAAUGUGAAAGCCCUCGGCUUAACCGAGGAACUGCAUCGGAAACUGUUUUUCUUGAGUGCAGAAGAGGAGAGUGGAACUCCAUGUGUAGCGGUGGGAAUGCGUAGAUAUAUGGAAGAACACCAGUGGGCGAAGGCGGCUCUCUGGGUCUGCAAACUGACGCUGAGGCUCGAAAGCAUGGGUAGCGAACAGGAUUAGAUACCCUGGUUAGUCCAUGCCCGUAAACGA